rnacentral:rRNA from 1 species
CGGACGGGUGAGUAACGCGUGGGUAACCUGCCUUGCACUGGGGGAUAACACUUAGAAAUAGGUGCUAAUACCGCAUAAGCGCACGGUCCUGCAUGGGACAGUGUGAAAAACUCCGGUGGUGCAAGAUGGACCCGCGUCUGAUUAGCUGGUUGGCGGGGUAAAGGCUCACCAAGGCGACGAUCAGUAGCCGGACUGAGAGGUUGGCCGGCCACAUUGGGACUGAGAUACGGCCCAGACUCCUACGGGAGGCAGCAG